GUAAUAUGAAUUUUUUCUGUGUUGGUGUAGUGUACUCAUAUUCACCUGAGUACACUACACCAACACAGAAAAAAUUCAUAUUAC